rnacentral:lncRNA from 1 species
CUUCUUAAGGGCUUUGGUUGAUGAACUUUUUUUUUCAUAAUCUUUUUUAUCUUGAUCGAGAGAAUGUCAUAUUGCUCGGUUCUGAUGGCGAGUCGGUGCUUGUCUUCAUUGUUCUUGUUCAUGAUCGUUGUUGGAUUUUUAUUCGGUUUUCAUAUAUUUUUACUGCUUUGAUGGACGCAACUGAGGACGUAUAUUUAUGUGAUUGGGUGUUAUUCGCUCGAUUCUGAUGGCGAGUCGAUGUUCUUCUUUACGCCUUUUGUUUAUGAUCAUUGCUGAAUCUUUAUUCCGUUUUCAUUUAUCUUUCUUUUCUUGAUGGACACAGCUGACGACGUGUCUUUCUGUAAUUGGAUAUUAUUCGCUGGAUUCUGAUGGCGAGUCGGUGUUCGUCUUUAAGGCUUUUGUUUAUGGUCGUUGCUGGCUCUUUAUUCGAGUUUGAUGUAUCUUUCUCGCCUUGAUGGAUACAACUGAGGUCGUAAAUUUCUGUAGCUGGAUGUUAUUCUGUUGACAUCGAUGGCGAGUUGGUGUUCUUCUUUAGGGCUCUUGUUUAUGAUCGCUUAUCGAUCUUUGUUCGAUUUUCGUAUAACUUCUUCGCCUUGAUGGAUACAACUGAGGACGCAGAUUUCUGUAAUUGGAUGUUAUUCGCUCGAUCUGAUGGCGAGUCGGUGUUCUUCUUAGGGCUUUUGUUUAUGAUCGUUACUGGAUCUUUAUUCGGUUUUCAGAUAUCUUUCUCGCCUUGAUGGAUACAACUGAGGUCGUAAAUUUCUGUAACGGGAUGCUAGUCUGUUGACAUCGAUGGCGAGUCGGCGAUUUGCUUUAGGACUCUUGUUUAUGAUCGCUGAUGGAUCUUUAUUCGGUUUUCAUAUAUCUUCCUUGCCUUGAUGGAUACAACUGAGGACGUAGAUUUCUGCGAUGGGAUGUUUUUCGCUCGAUCGGAUGGCGAGUUGGUGUUCUUGUUUAGGGGUUUUGUUUAUGAUUUUGCUGGAUCUUUAUUCGGUUCAUAUUAUCUUCUUUUGCCUUGAUGGAUACAACUGAGGUCGUGAAUUUCUGUAACGGGAUGUGAUGGCGAGUCGGUGUUCCUCUUCAGGGCUCUUGUUUAUGAUCCUUCUUGGAUCUUGAUUCGGGUUUUAAUAUAUCUUUCUUGCCUGGAUGGGUACCACUGAGAUCAUAGAUUUUUUGUAAUGGAAUAUAUCGGUCGAUUUCGAUGGCGAGUAGCUCUUCUUUAGGGCUUUUGUUUAUGUUCGUUCUUGGAUCUUUAUUCUUUUUUCAUACGUCUUUCCUGCCUUGAUAAUUACUACUGAGGUCAGAGAUUCCUGUUAUGAAAUAUUAUUCGCCAGAUUUUGAUGGUGUCUUGGUGUUCUUCUUUAGGGCUUUGGUUGAUGAUAGUUCUUUGAUAUUUUUGGUUUUCGGUUACCUUUUCUGCCUUGAUGGAUAUAUCUGAUGUCAUGGACUUGUGUAGUGGAACGUUGUUUCUCAUUUUUGAUGGCAUGUCUGUCUUCUUGUUCAGGUCUUCUAUUGAUGAUUGUUCUUGGAUCUUUAUUUGGUUUUCAGGAUACAUUUGAGGUCAUAGAUUUCCGUAAUUGUAUAAUAUUCGCUUAAUUUUGGUGGGUCGGUGUUCUUCCUUAUUUGGGACCUUAAAACAUUGUUAUUGUUAUUGGUGUUCUUCUUAGGGCGUUGGUUGAUGAUCGGUAUCUGUCCUUUCGCACUCGAUUGUUAUAACUGAGGUAGUAGAUUUCUGUAGUGGAACAUUAUGCUUGGGAAGUUUGCAACAUUCUUGCAUCUGUUUGUUGUAGGGUUCUCUCCGAUGAGAAAACACUAAAUGCGUAACAGUAAUGCCUUUUUAUUUUCCUUUCUUGGAAAUUUCUUGAUCAUUUCACCCAAUCAGCUUUUUCUUUUCCUGUUUGAAUUGUUUGCAUCUCAUGUUGUGAUCAAUUAAGAUUACAAGUUUUGUAUAUACAUUAUAUCUGUAUGUAUAUCCUUCUAGAUUUUUGUAUCUUUAUGUAUUGUUUUUUAUUUCUUGAAGUUUGUGAAAUUUGCCUCUUUGGUAGUUGAAGUUGAACUAUGGCUCUUGAUGCAUAUUGUCUCUCUCGUACUAGAUGUUGAUGGAAGCAUAUUAUUUCCUCAUCUCUUUAACAAUCUGUUUAUUGUAAAACAAUUGGAUUGAGAGCUGAAAGAAAAUAACAUGGACUAAAGUGAUGUGGGAAUCAUGAGCUCAACUUGAGCUUUAACUGUCGAGUGUCUCAUGGGAACAAACCCAUGCCGUUAUGCGUUUGGGCGGACCUUUAUCUCGAUCACUUUCAUUCUUUUCACCCUCAUUUUUUUUUUAGUUCAGAUGAUAUAUUGGAUUUUGUUUUGCUUUCGGUAUAAUUUUGUUUGGUUAGUAUUGUAUAUAUGUCUUUGCAUGUCUCGAGCUUUGGCAUCUGUUAGCUGAGAAAGUUGCAAAACCUUGCUUGUGUUCAACGAAGGACAAGAGUAAUGGAUGUUCUCGGAUAGCAAAGGACACUCGAGUAUCUUUUGCAGCCAACCAAAACU